AAAAUAAAUAAAAAAUAAAUAGCCUCAGCCUACCAUAGGCUAUAUGUAAGUAAUCACAGUAAACAUAAACCUCACAGCACUGACAAAUCCCAUAACACAAACACCCACAUGCAUGCACACUGCAUUAAUUUCAUGAUAAACAUAUAUCAGCUGAUAUGAUUUUGGAAUAUGGAAAUCAUGUUAAUUUGUUAUUUUCUAGAUGGGACCUACAUAUGGAAGAAGGAUGAUAAAGGGGUAUCUCGCUAUGAAAGGAGUGCAUGCAGCAGAGACACGAAUUGGAUCAGUGCUCAGAACCAUGCAUCAGCCUUACCAUGAAGCAAGACGUCAGGGUGCCCGCAAUCUCAAUCCCAUACCAUAUCAAGCUGACUACAUGGGUCACAAGGUUCAUAUGGACCAAAAUGAAAAACUGGCUAUGUUUGGGGUCACCCAUGUUUUAGCCAUUGAUUGCUUCCGCAAAAAGGCCUGCAGUACUUGCCUAUGGUAUGUGGGACCAGGUGCGAGUAGAUCAUGGCAAGGAGUUUUAUUUGACGCUCUUCAUGCAGGAGCAGCUGUCAUCUCAUCGCCAUAAUCAGGAGAGAAGGCCUUAUUUACAGACUUCAUCCACAAGGAACCACAUAGUUGAACGAGUCUGGCCUGAGGUCAACAAUCGUGUCAAUUAUCCACUGAAGACAGCCCUUCUGCAGUUGGUGGAUCAAGAGGAACUAGACAUGGACGACAACCUUGUGAGAUACUGUGUGUCCAACCUGACUGGCCAGUUGUGCCAGAUUGGUCUCACAAGGAUGGUGGACUCAUGGAAUGCUCACCGAAUUCCAGGUAAAGGUAUACCCAAUGACUUGGCUGGCAGUGGGUGUCCCAAAAAAAUCCCACAGGAGCUGUUGCCUCAUUCAGCUGAAGCAGCAGACCUUCACGGACAACAGCUGGGAUCCUCACUGACAACACAUUCUGCUUUUG
rnacentral:lncRNA from 15 species